rnacentral:rRNA from 1 species
UACGUAGGGCGCAAGCGUUAUCCGGAAUUAUUGGGCGUAAAGAGCUCGUAGGCGGUUUGUCGCGUCUGCCGUGAAAGUCCGGGGCUCAACUCCGGAUCUGCGGUGGGUACGGGCAGACUAGAGUGAUGUAGGGGAGACUGGAAUUCCUGGUGUAGCGGUGAAAUGCGCAGAUAUCAGGAGGAACACCGAUGGCGAAGGCAGGUCGUCUGGGCAUUAAUUGACGCUGAGGAGCGAAAGCAUGGGAGC